rnacentral:tRNA from 3 species
CCGUCACUAGCUCAUCGGGACAGAGCAUCAACCUUCUAAGUUGAUUGUGCGGGGUUCAAGUCCCCGGUGGCGGUCCA